GAAAAGGGGAAGACAGAUCUCGGGUUAGAUGAUGUGAUCUCGUGUGAGUCGAAGGGUGUGGAUCUUCAAUGAUGUGAAGUGAUACUUUUCAUCUUUUCAAAGCGAACUCAUGUGAGUGGAGUGGGGGUGAUCUUUAGUGAUGUGAUGGGUUUUUCACUGUUGCUAGUUAUUUCCAUUUUACUUAACCAACGGAAUCAAAAAGGAAAUAUAGAAACAACAAAACUUACUAACCAAAGUUUGGUAUAUACCAAAUGCCAGGCUCGGCCACGUGAGGUGUCCAACAUGGGCGUGGGACCAUCGAGCAGCGAUUCGCGAAGGAGGAGAAAGUGGAUUGAUAGCCCAAGCAUUCUAUCUCUUGCAUGACCUNNNNNNNNNNNNNNNNNNNNNNNNNNNNNNNNNNNNNNNNNNNNNNNNNNNNNNNNNNNNNNNNNNNNNNNNNNNNNNNNNNNNNNNNNNNNNNNNNNNNNNNNNNNNNNNNNNNNNNNNNNNNNNNNNNNNNNNNNNNNNNNNNNNNNNNNNNNNNNNNNNNNNNNNNNNNNNNNNNNNNNNNNNNNNNNNNNNNNNNNNNNNNNNNNNNNNNNNNNNNNNNNNNNNNNNNNNNNNNNNNNNNNNNNNNNNNNNNNNNNNNNNNNNNNNNNNNNNNNNNNNNNNNNNNNNNNNNNNNNNNNNNNNNNNNNNNNNNNNNNNNNNNNNNNNNNNNNNNNNNNNNNNNNNNNNNNNNNNNNNNNNNNNNNNNNNNNNNNNNNNNNNNNNNNNNNNNNNNNNNNNNNNNNNNNNNNNNNAAGUGGCGGGGUGGCUAUAGAAUUUGUUUUCAUGCUAGACCUUAGGAUAUAUGUCACACAUUAUGAUGUGAUUUUCUGUGAGGAAAGGGGUAAGACGGAUCUUGGGUUAGAUGAUGUGAUCUCGUGUGAGUGGAAGGGUGUGGAUCUUCCAUGACGUGAAGUCAUAAUUUGCAUUUUUCCAAAGCGAUCUCAAGCGAGUGUAGUCGGGGGGGGGGUGAUCCUCAAUGAGGUGAUGUGUUUUUCAUUGUUGCUAGUUAUUUCCAUGUUUUCUUAACCAAUUUAAGAAAGAAAAAUACAUAUCUAUCUUGAAAUACGGGAAAAACAAAGAGCACAUCUACAAUGCUAGCAUUAGCUGGCUAGCUGUCCAUGGGGCACACCCGAAAAGCAAACAUCCCCAUCGAGUUCCAAUGAGCUUAAAAUGGAAAUUCACCCCAAAAAUACCAACUACUCCUCCCAUACAUGUUGGCCCGCCUAAAUAGUGUAGUUAAGCGGCUUCUUUCUUUACAGUUAAACAUUCUUCCUUUUGCACUUUAUUUGCAUAUGGAUGGUAUAGGCUCUAGGCCAAUGAUUGUCUUGUAUGUCUUGUACAGAGUUACCGCCUAAUUACAAAAAACACUCUCCCAUGGCCCUAUUGUGCCCUACUCUAUACAACCAUAAGGACGAGUGGAGGGAUGAAUGUGAUCAGUGCGAGCAUAAAUAUGACAAGGACAUUAAUUUACUUUCCCUUGAUUGCACAAAACUGAAAUUAUUUUUAAUAUGUUCUCACAUGUAACUACAAUUGUCUCUAUUGAUUUAUAUGGGUACACCACACAUUUGUGCAUGCAAAGUAUGAUUUCCUAUUGUAGUUUUAAUACGAGCAACGUGUGAGAACAAGUCGUAAAGUCUCUUAGGGCAUCUUUGGCAAACCUCUAGAACCGCAAACACCUCGACUCUCGCUCCUCUAACUCAAACCCAACUUAAAAAUACUAGGGAUUUGAUAAGCCGUUAGCCAAAUCGGCAGUGUCCUAAGAUCGAUUUCAUUGUCCGAUGACCCAUUUACGGGAUAUUUCGCCUGUUUGACAAGGAAACAUCCGCACCAUAUGGAUCUUCACCUCAACAUUGUAUGCAACUACAUAAGGCCUAAUAUUCUACAAAACUUAUUCUUCUCAACCUAUCCAAUCAGUCUCUCCCAUGGGGCUUGUUUGUUUCGUGAUUUCUCCCACAUCAUGUGGCUACACAAAAUGGGGUAGGGACCUUUUCCAUUUAAUAAGGUGGGGUGCCAAGCGUUGAAGGUAUCCAUAUUCCUAGUUAUCCUAAUGCAUUCUACCCUUUAGGAAUAAAUUGAAAACAGAAUUGAACAACAAAUAUAGAAACACCAAAAUUUACUAACCUAAGUUUAGUUUACACCAGAUGCCAGGCUUAGCCAUGGGAGGUGACCAACUCGAGCGUGAGACCAUCAAGAAGUGAUCCACGUGGAGAAUAAAUAGGGUCAACAACCCAAGCAUUGCGGCUCUCGCAUGGCCUCUCGUAAGUCCCAAGACCCACCCCUCACUUUGCUUACAUGUGUCAUUAAUUUCGGACGGUUGUGAUGCUUCCGGUUCGUCUCAAAUUGCGGCGUGGCUAGAGAAUUUAUUGUCGUGCUACAAUAAGUGAACUUUAGGAUAUAUCUCAUGCAUUACGACACGAUAUUCUGUGAGGAAAGGGGGAAGACUGAACCAGGUUAGAUGAUGCGAUAUCGCGUGAGUGGAAGGAUGUAGAUCUUCCAUGACAUGAAGGGAUUAUUUCCAUUUUUCAAAGAAAUAUUGUGCGAGCGGAGGGGGUGGAUCUUCAAUGACAUGAUGUUUUUUUAUCUUUGUUAGUUAUUUCCAAUUUUUCUUAACCAAUUUAAGAGAACAAAUCAUAUCCAACAUGAAAUAUGGGAAGAAACUAAGGACACAUGUACAAAGCAACCAUUUACUUGCUAGAUAUCCAUGGCGCAUGCCCAUAAAAACAAACACCCCAUGAAGUUCCACUGAGUCUAAAAUUAAUGGAAAUCCAACACCAACAAUAUAUACCACCUGGUCCACCUACACGUGUUGGCCCACCUAAAUAGUGUAGUUAAGCGGCUUCUUGCAUCACAAUUAAACAAAAUAUCUUCCUUUUGCUCUUCAUUUGCAAAUUUUUGGUAUAAUCUUAGGCCAAUGAUUAUCUUCAAUGUUUUGUACACAAUAUAUACCUAAUUACAAACAACUUUCCCCCAUUAACCUAUUGUGGCCUACUCUAUACAUAUCGGAGGAUGAGAGGAUGGAUGAAUGAAUUCCAGAGGAGGAAUACAUAUGCGAGGGACAUUGCAUUACUUUCCCUUGGUUACCCAAAACUAAAAAUCUUGUUAUAUAUUCUCACACGNNNNNNNNNNNNNNNNNNNNNNNNNNNNNNNNNNNNNNNNNNNNNNNNNNNNNNNNNNNNNNNNNNNNNNNNNNNNNNNNNNNNNNNNNNNNNNNNNNNNNNNNNNNNNNNNNNNNNNNNNNNNNNNNNNNNNNNNNNNNNNNNNNNNNNNNNNNNNNNNNNNNNNNNNNNNNNNNNNNNNNNNNNNNNNNNNNNNNNNNNNNNNNNNNNNNNNNNNNNNNNNNNNNNNNNNNNNNNNNNNNNNNNNNNNNNNNNNNNNNNNNNNNNNNNNNNNNNNNNNNNNNNNNNNNNNNNNNNNNNNNNNNAUUCUCACACGGAAUUAGAAUGUUCACUAAUGCAUUAUCCAAGUACACCACACUUGUGCAUGUGAAGUAUGAUAUCAUAUUGUACUUGCAAUACAAGCUAACUGUGCUAAUGAGUCACAAUGUUUAUUCACGUAAGUAUGUAGUUUUGGUUGGAGAUUGUUACACGAGGCGCUUCCCCUCGUGGUUGAGGAUAACAUUUCUUAUCAAAUAAAUGUGUGCAUAUACGUUCACAAGGCAUUGAUUUCUUACUUGGUGUUACGGUAAUAGUGUUUUGAUGUUUGGAUAGAGUGUUGGAUAGGCAAUGGAUACCACAGUGGGCUCUAAAUAAUCAAUAACCCUUACACACACAUUUCAAUAGUAAGCAGUAAUAGGUUAUUUUUUCAUAUAAGUACAAAUGUGUCACAUCCCUGACACCUUAAUCAAAUUAGCUUUGUGCUCAUGUUUUCUUUGCAUUGCAUCUAGGAAAUUUUCAACAAGAAUAAAGUAAGUGGUGAAGGAAAACUCAAAACCCUAGCCACUUCUCAAAAUAAAGGAAAUUUCAAACUAGUUAAAAUCAAUGAACCCAAAAUGGCCUCAAGAAAAGCUCAACUUUUCUGAUAAUUCUUGGAAACAAAUAAGCAAUGAAGUAAACCAUUUCUUUUAUACUCUUGGCAUUUUAAAUAAAUGCAAAAAGCUAUUGGUUUCAAGUUUAAAAUUUGAAAUCAGAAACUUUAAGUUUUCAAAAAUGUUGAAAACUCGAGGAAUGGUUGGAUAUAUUCCAACAAAUAUUCUGGUGUGUUCAAAAUAGUUUUUACAAACUAUUUUGGAGCUUAAAUAAAUAGCAAAUCAAUAGUUAACAAAACAGAAACAAAACAAAAAAGAAAGAGAAAGAAAAGAGGAAAGACCUUACCUGUCGACUGAGGAGGCCCAGCCCACCAGGGGCAGGGUCGUCUUCUUCCUCUCCCUUCUGGCAGAGGGGAGAUCGACCACGGCGGCCCCCUCCACAUCCUGCUUCGCCGUGGCGACCUCCAGAGCCCCCCAGGACAGCGCGACAGGGGGGAUAUCCACCCCGAGGCCGUCCCUAUCCAUUCCCCAGCUCUAGUUUCCCCCUCCUCCCGGGAUCUCUCCUCCCUCCUUCUGCCGCCAUUGCCAAGAGCUAGAGCACGAGCCGCCGCGCCUCUAGCCACAGGACCUCCCUUCCGAGUAGUCCAGUAGCUUCGCCUCGUCGAGCUGGUUCUCUCUGCAACGGCCGAAGUCUCCCCAAGCUCUACAACGUCCCCAACGCCAUCGUCUUCAACCUUCGGUCGCCGGCAAAUCGACGGUGAAACGUCGGCAACAGCCCCUCCCCGAGCAGUCUGAGCCUAGCUUCACCUCCACCGCAAGCCUGCGAUCAUUUCCCCUCUCCUUCCCCUCGGAUCCGUGCCCCCUAGCCACUGGACCAUCGAACCCGUACUCCGGCAGCCGCCCCAGCUCGUCGCCGGCUUGCUCCGACCACCUAUAGCCCUCCCUGAGGCCAACGCUGGAUGAGGUCGAGCCUGGAGAUCAGUCCAGUGCUCUCGGCAUCCUUUUCCGAGCACCACAGCACGAUAUAGCGUGUCUCCGGCGAGGUUCUGCCGCGGAUCUGGUCGCUGCCGGCCAGGCUCCGGCGAGGAACGAUGUGGCCAGCCUAACCAAGUAGUUUAAAGCCUAAACACUCACUUAGGGGCUGGUCAGCGCGGGAUUAGCCACUAAGACGCUGACAAGUGGGUCCCCCCUGUUAGGUUUGACCUGAUCAGGUCAGUUGACCUGCUGAUGUCAUGCUGACAAAAUAAAGGGGUUUUCCAGUAUAAAAAUAAUUCCAGAAAUGUUUAUAACUUCAAAAAUUCAUAGAAAUUAAUCUGUAACUCCAAUGCAAAUAAUUUAUAUAUGAAAAAGUAUCAGAAAAAUUCAAGGAAUCUGAAUAUGUCAUUUUCAAACAUGUUUGAAAAUGUUACAGAACCCAAACAUGUAGAUUAAUGAAUAAGUUAAUUCUUAUAAAUACUUUGUAUAUGGAAUUUGGCAAAUAUUUAAAUUUCACUAUAAAUGACAUGAUCAAACACUGUCCUAAUUACAAACCAGCAACCUAACAUGUCAUCCCAUGCAUGUUAAAAGCAAGUUGAUCUGAGCAUCAGGUCGAAUCAAUUUAAAUGGUAUCCGAGAAUACCUCGUUUGAAGUGAUAUUUGAAUUUGAUUCAAAUCAACUUCAAACCUAAUACAUGUUAGCUAUAAUAGUUUACCAUCUUGCAUUCUCAUGCCAUGCUCAUGCAUCAUCUUGAUUGCAUAUGUUUGUUAUUGAUUGUUGUCAUUCCUUUCGGUAGGCUCCGCUCCCCCGGAUUCCACCGAAUAUCCAUCUGACGGAUAUUGUCACUCCUCUGAGCAACAAGGCAAGCAACCAUUUUGAUCAUCCCGAUAAAUCCCAUGUUCUUGCUCCUACACUUACUUAUUGCAUUAGGAUCAAAUGCUUCAAAUGCUUUUGCCACGUUAGUUGAACCCACUUCCUUUGCAUGACCUAUCCUUGUCACAGUAAAUAGCUAAACCUUGCAACCUAGCAUACCUGGUAGUUUCUUGAGCCAUGACAUGCCUUAUCCUGCUAUGCAUGCUAUGCUUAGAGUUGUGUAUGGUCUGUCAUCUGGGGGAUGAACAGAAUUGUGAGAAUGUGUUCGGAAAGCAAAGGUUGUGUGUUGAACCUGAUUUGGUAAAGGUACCGGUGAAAGGCUGUGUAGGAGUACAUGGCGGGUUGUUUCAUUGGAACCGUCCUUAGGAACUGAGUUCCGUGUAUGUAAUCCAAGACUAGAUACUACCACACGUUGGGAUACUUAAUUGACCCUCUCGACUUAUUAAUCGCUUAGUAUUCGAUCCAGGAGUUGCAAGUACUUUCUGGUGUUUAUAGUCAUGCUGGAGGCCGUGCAUCGCGCUGACCUGAGAGGUGGGCUGUGAUGCGGUAGGCAGUGGCACGGUGUACCAAGUGGCACCCGGAUGGUGGGCUUGGGAACCCUGCGGACAUCGUUUGAGGCUGUGGCGGAAACCUCGGCCGGACUUCCAUACGGGUUACUCUCAGAUAGGCGAUAAACCUCGACUAGGUACUAAUGUGGUUAACGGUCGUGGCCGACUCCCUCGCUGGGCUUCCGCUUGAAGGUUGCCGAGGUGCAUGACGUGCACAUGGCGAUAAGUGGCGAGAGCGUGUGUGACGAAGUACACCCCUGCAGGGUUAUGAUCUAUUCGAAUAGCCGCGUCCGCGGAUAUGGACUACAUGGAGACAUAUGUUGUUCAUAGAUAACUUAAAUGGCUACUCAUAAAAUUGUCAAGAUAAGCGUGAGUGUCAUGGACGGCAUUUCCGUAUGGAGACGGAAUGAUUCCACGAUGGAGUAUUGUUGUGGUGUUAGUGGACUAGAGUGCGAGAAAUCAAGUUGUCAAAAUUAUUUAAAAAUGCAAGUUGUCUAGCCACGAGUCAAAUGCUGGCUUUCCGCAUGAAACCCCACAAUACCUUAUUGAUACUUUGCAUGAGUAGAUAGUUAUCUUAAAGUCUUGCUGAGUACCUCCGUACUCAUGUUUGCUGAAUAAAUGUUGCAGAGGUUUCUAAUGACCCUAAUGGAGGGUUCUUCAUAGACAUCGACGACGACGAGUAGCUGGUGUCCCAGCUACGAUCUGGCCCUAGGUUGGGUCUGUAGUAUAGUCAGGCCAUGUGCCUUCUAGUUGCACCUGUCUGUACUCAGACAAUUUUAAACACUUCCGCUGGCUUGUAACUGAACGACUGCUAUUAUGGGUCGUGAGACCCUUACUGUGUAAUAUUAUGUGUGUGGCUUUUCCGAGCCUCUUAAAUAAUGCUUGUAUGUUUAUGGUUAUGUUGUGAUGCCAUCGAUGUAUCUAUACAUAUCGGUAUGCCAUGCGUACGUGUGUCAUACUUGAUAUGUAUGGGGUUCGACUACCUAGCCGUGAACUUUAGUAGCACUCCUUACAGGGAAAUGCCCCUUUGUGAUCCAACGAGCCAUGGUAGCUCGCUACUUCUCCGCACACAUUGGUUGACCGACAUGUGUCCUUCUUAGCUGUUGUGUCUGUCCCCUUUGGGGAAAUGUCACGCGAUGUAAUGGAGUCCUUGUAGCUUGCUACGACUCGUCUACACUCGCUGGUGACCGACACCUGCUUUGUUGGGUCAUGUAUGACUGUCCUUGUGCGGUACUGCCACUUUGGUUUAUGACUAGACUUGUCGAUCCGGGUUCUUUGACAUUGGAAUGCUAGCGACACAAUUGCAUACGUGAGUCAAAAGGCGCAAACGGUCCCGGCUAAGGUAAGGCUGCAGCCGUGGAGUUAACCGUGCGUGAGACCGCAAAGGGAUGCGAUGUGUUACAGACUGGAUUCCUAUGGCUUAGGAUCGGGGUCCCGACAAUUUUUUUUCUAAAAAAGUGUAUUUCACACUUUGUAAAAACGUCCAAAAUCCACUCUACACUUUCUUUUUGAAAAAAAUUAAACUUACAUUUUUGGCUAACUAAACUUGCGCAUUUUGAAACUAACGUAGGCUUAGAAAAAAGAAACAUUUACCUAAGGCAUGGCAAAAGCAAUAAAUCAUUUAGAUCUUUGGUCAUGCAAGGUGGCUAGACAAGGAAAACCCAUAAUAAGUAGAGUCUAGUUGAUCGGUCAUAAGCGGUGUGUGAGUCUCCAUUCUGAAAACUGCACACAUACAACAAAAACGGAAUCAAAACUAGUUUCGGAAGAAGUGUUGGGCACAUAACGGAAUCUAAAGGCUGAACAUAAUAGUUCGCACUGAUAUAGCCAAACUCAAAAUCUUUAAUGUUUUUUUUCGAACGUAGAAUAUCCUCUUUCCUCCGACUCUCCAAUUCUCAUCACCCAAAACCAACAAACAUGCAACUUGGGCCUAUCGCCAUCCAUAAAGAACAACUCUAAGUUUCUCUUAACUUUUGCCCUUCAAUUUCUCAAUAUAAUCUGAUGGCCCAACUCCAUCUGACCACAUCUAAAUCCUCUAGCACAAAACAAAGCAUAGCCUUCAAGAAACUAAGCAUUCCCUUGCUCUCUAUAAUCGGUGCCGCUCUGAUUAUUCAAGUGAUCCUCAAAGCACACUCUAAUGCAACUUAUCUAGCCCUCGUGUGAGCGCCAUCCUGCCUCGGGACCAAUCUUCAAUUCCAAACAAGAUCAAGAAUUGUGAUGCACAACAGAGUCUGACCCGACCAGUAGUAGGCCCGCCUCUAGGAAAAAUAGUGCCGCCUACUCCUCUAGUAUGUCAUUGUCCCGAGACGCACCAGCUCUACAAGUGAUUUUCGAAGUAACAAGCAUGGUGCUUUGGAUUGGUGUUUAGCGAAAGAAGGUUCUACACCUAGGUGAAUUAACACCAACCUUCCGCUUGAUCUUGUUUCAGGAAACAAGCAUAACCCACUAGUUAAAAUUGUAUUGCCUAUGUGGAAAGUGUAGAAUUGAUACUCAUGUUGCUAGAUUCACAAUCUAUAAUAUUAUUUGGAAGUUCUCAUCCUUAUAUAUUUGUUUGGAUCUAUCUAGAUAAAGACUUUGAAUACUUUUGAUAUAAAUGCCUAUGUCAGGAAAUUUGAUGUUUCUUGUUGAGUAGAGCAAACUUGUAUCACUCAUCACAAACUUGUUUCCUCGUGAACCAUUGUAUCGUGCAAAUUACGCAUACCCAAUUAGUGUCAUGUUAAAUCUUGUUUGUUCAAAGGCUUCUUAGUUUUUUUUAAUUUAUAUGUUGGGAUGUUGGUUUCUUUAAGUUGUUAUUUGCAAUCUUUUUCUUUGGCAAUUGUUGGGAAAUAUUUUGUUGUGCUUGAUUUUUGUGUUUCUCAUGCCUUUGGUCAUCAUAGUAAUAUAUAUCUGGUCGCAAUUCAUGGAUAUUAACCUAUGAUAUCAAAUAAUGGACAUUCAACUAUGAUAUCAAACAAUUCUUCACUUAUUGGUGUACGCAUUUGCUAAAUUGUGAUUAAUGGAUUCAUGUUGCAUGUACAAAGGCACAAGCAUUUUCAUAGUGAUUGUAGUGGGUCGGUAGUUGAGCAGUUACAGGGGUGGAUAUAUAUGAGCAUAAAUUGUGAAAUAUAAUGGACAACUGUUAAAAUAAAUAUAGAAGAAAGAAAAAAAAAGAUAAAAAAUCAAAUCUUAAGGCCGAUGGUCGCCGAGCAUGGUGUUCUACCCCAUUUCGUAAGCACUCUAGGCGACACCUUGUUUUGUCUCACAAUAGUCGACACAGAGUCGCUCCCCUAAGGUUAAGGUGAGUACCAUGUGGUCGUGUGUGCAAGUCAAGGAUGACCCAAUCACUCAUGUGGGCCAUCCACCUAAAUACUGUAGGCAAAUAGGCAAUGCCCAAUAAUCUACAAAACCUAUUUUUCUUACCCACACCAAUGAGUCUCUCUCGUGGGGCUUGUCCAUUUGGUUAUUAGUACCACAUCACCAGGCUGCAGAAUAAUGGGGGAAGAAGCCUGACUAUUUAAUAGGGUGGUAUGCCUCGGGUGGAAGGCAUCCAUAUCCUUGGUGAACCGGACACGGGAUACACUUUCAGUAUAAGUCGAAAACCGAACCAAAAAGGAAAUAUAGAAACACCAGAACUUACUAACCAAAGUUUAUGUAGCAAACGCCAGGGUCAGCCAUCUGAGGUGCCCAACAUGGUCAUGGGAUCAUCAAGCAGCGAUCCACAAGGGAGGAUAAAGGGGAUUCACAACCCAAGCUUUGUGGCUCUUGCAUGACCUCUCAUAAGGCCCAAAACCCAUGCCUCAAUUUCUUACAUGUGUGUUUCAUGUCAGAUGGUGGUGUGGGUUUCGGUACAUCUCAAGUGGCAGGGCGGCUAGAGAAUUUAUUUUCAUGCUAGACAUUAGGAUAUAUCUCACACGUUAUGACAUGAUCUUGUGUGAGGAAAAGGGUCAGACAAAUCUUGGGUUAGAUGAUGUGAUCUCGUGUGAGUGGAAGGGUGUGGAUCUUCAAGGAUGUGAAGUAAUAAUUUUCAUUUUUUCAAAGCGAUCUCAUGUGAGUGGAGUGGGGAUGAUCUUCACUGAUGUGAUGGGUUUUUCACUGUUGCUAGUUAUUUCCAUUUUACUUAAUCAACGGAAUCAAAACGGAAAUAUAGAAACAACAAAACUUAAUAACCGAAGCUUGGUAUAUACCAAAUGCUAGGCUCGGCCACGUGAGGUGUGCAACAUAGGCGUGGGACCAUUGAGAAGCGAUUCUCGAGGGAGGAGAAAGUGGAUUGAUAUCCCAACCAUUCUAUCUCUCGCAUGACCUCUCAUAAGUCCCAAGCCCACCCCUCGCUUUCUUACAUGUACGUUUAAUGUCACAUGGUGGGGUGGGUUUCGGUAUGUCUCAACUGGCGGGGUGGCUAGAGAAUUUGUUGUCAUGCUAGACCUUAGGAUAUAUGUCAAACGUUAUGAUGUGAUUUUCUGUGAGGAAAGGGGUAAGACGGAUCUUGGGUUAGAUGAUGUGAUAUCGUGUGAGUGGAAGGGUGUGGAUCUUCCAUGACGUGAAGUCAUAAUUUGCAUUUUACCAAAGCGAUCUCAAGCGAGUGGAGUUGGGGGGUGAUCCUCAAUGAGGUGAUGUGUUUUUCAUUGUUGCUAGUUAUUUCCAUGUUUUCUUAACCAAUUUAAGAAAAAAAAUGCAUAUCUAUCUUGAAAUACGGGAAAAAACAAAGGGCACAUCUACAAUGCUAGCAUUAGCUGGCUAGCUGUCCAUGGGGCACACCCGAAAAGCAAACAUCCCCAUCGAGUUACAAUGAGCUUAAAAUGGAAAUUCACCCCAAAAAUACAUCCUACUCCUCCCACACAUGUUGGCCCGCCUAAAUAGUGUAGUUAAGUGGCUUCUUGCUUUACAGUUAAACAUUCUUCCUUUUGCACGUUAUUUGCAUAUGGAUGGUAUAGGCUCUAAGCCAAUGAUUGUCUUGUAUGUCUUGUACACAGUUACCGCCUAAUUACAAAAAACACUCUUGGCCCUAUUGUGCCCUACUCUAUACAACUAUAAGUACGAGUGGAUGGAUGAAUCUGAUCAGUGCGAGCAUAACUAUGAGAAGGACAUUAUUUUACUUUCCCUUGAUUGCAAAAAACUGAAAUUAUUUUAAAUAUCGUCUCACACGUAACUACAAUUGUCUCUAUUGCUUUAUCUAGGUACACCACACAUUUUUGCAUGCGAAGUAUGAUUUCCUAUUGUAGUUUUAAUACGAGCAACGUGUGAGAACAAGUCAUAAAGUCUCUUAGGGCAUCUUCGGCAAUCCUCUAGAACCGCAAACACCUCGACUCUCGCUCCUCUAACUCAAACCCAACUUAAAAAUACUAGGGUUUUGAUAAGCUGUUAGCCAAAUCAGUAGUGUCCUAAGAUCGAUUUCAUCGUCCGAUGACCCAUUUAGGGGAUAUUUGGCCCGUUUGACAAGGAAACAUCCGCACCAUAUGGAUCUUCACCUCAACAUUGUAUGCAACUACGCAAGGCCUAAUAUUCUACAAAACUUCUUCUUCUCAACCAAUCCAAUCAGUCUUUCCCAUGGGGCUUGUCCGUUUCAUGAUUUCUCCCACAUCGUGUGGCUACACAAAAUGGGGUAGGGACCUUUUCUAUUUAAUAUGGUGGGGUGCCAAGCGUUGAAGGUAUCCAUAUUCUUAGUUAGCCUAAUGCAUUCUACCCUUUAGGAAUAAACUGAAAACAGAAUCGAACAACAAAUAUAGAAACACCAAAAUUCACUAACCUAAGUUUAGUUUACACCAGAUGCCAGGCUUAGCCAUGGGAGGUGACCAACUCGAGCGUGAGCCCAUCCAGAAGCGAUCCACAUGGAGAAUAAAUGGGGUCAACAACCCAAGCAUUGCGGCUCUCGCAUGGCCUCUCGUAAGUCCCAAGAUCCACCCCUCACUUUGCUUACAUGUGUCAUUAAUAUCGGAUGGUGGGGAGGCUUCUCGUACGUCUCAAAUUGCGGCGUGGCUAGAGAAUUUAUUAUCGUGCUACAAUAAGUGGACUUCAGGAUAUAUCUCAUGCAUUGCGACACGAUAUUCUGUGAGGAAAGGGGGAAGACUAACCCAGGUUAGAUGAUGCGAUAUCGCGUGAGUGGAAGGAUGUAGAUCUUCCAUGACAUGAAGGGAUUAUUUCCAUUUUUCAAAGCAAUAUCGUGCGAGCGGAGGGGUGGAUCUUCGAUGACAUGAUGUUUUUAUCUUUGUUAGUUAUUUCCAGUUUUUCAUAACCAAUUUAAGAGAACAAAUCAUAUCCAACAUGAAAUAUGGGAAGAAGCUAAGGACACAUCUACAAAGCAAACAUUUACUUGCUAGCUAUCCAUGGCGCAUGCCCAUAAAAACAAACACCCCAUGAAGUUCCGGUGAGCCUAAAAUGGAAAUCCAACACCAACAAUAUAUACAACCUGGUCCGCCUACACAUGUUGGCCCACCUAAAUAGUGUAGUUAAGCGGCUUCUUGCAUCACAAUUAAACAAAAUAUCUUCCUUUUGCUCUUCAUUUGGAAAUUUUUGGUAUAGACUUAGGCCAAUGAUUAUCUUCAAUGUUUUGUACACAAUACCUAAUUACAAACAACUUUGCCCCAUUAACCUAUUGUGGCCUACUCUAUACAUAUCGGAGGACGAGAGGAUGGAUGAAUGUAUUCCAGAGGAGGAAUACAUAUGCGAGGGACAUUGCAUUACUUUCCCUUGGUUACCCAAAACUAAAAAUCUUGUUAUAUAUUCUCACACGGAAUUACAAUGGUCACUAAUGCUUUAUCCAAGUACACCACACUUGUGCAUGUGAAGUAUGAUAUCAUAUUGUACUUGCAAUACAAGCUAACUGUGCUAAUGAGUCAAAAUGUUUAUUCACGUAAGUAUGUAGUUUUGGUUGGAGAUCGUUACACGAGGCGCUUCCCCUCGUGGUUGAGGAUAACAUUUCUUAUCAAAUAAAUGUGUAUAUAUAUGUUCAGAAGGCAUUGAUUUCUUACUUGGUGUUACGGUAAUAGUGUUUUGAUGUUUGGAUAGAGUGUUGGAUAGGCAAUGGAUACCACAGUGGCCUCUAAAUAAUCAAUAACCCUGGCACACACAUUUCAAUAGUAAGCAGUAAUAGGUUAUUUUUUCAUAUAAGUACAAAUGUUUUCUAGAAAAGUAUAUGUCACACUUUGUAAAAACGUCCAAAAUCCAUUUUACACUUUCUUUUUGAAAAAAAUCAAACUUACAUUUUCAGCUAACUAAACUUGCGCAUUUUGAAACUAACGUAGGCUUAGAAAAAAGGAAACAUUUACCUAAGGCAUGGCAAAAGCAAUAAAUCAUUUAGAUCUUUGGUCAUGCAAGGUGGCUAGACAAGGAAAAUCCAUAAUAAGUAGAGUCUAGUUGAUCGGUCAUAAGCGGUGCGUGAGUCUCCAUUCUUAAAACUGCACACAUAAAACAAAAACGGAAUCAAAACCAGUUUCGGAAGAAGUGUUGGGCACAUAACUGAAUCUAAAGGGUGAACAUAAUAGUUCGCACUGAUAUAGCCAAAAUCGAAAUAUUUAAUGUUUUUUUUCUAAUUUAGCAUAUCCUCUUUCCUCCCAAUCUCCAAUUAUCAUCACCCAAAACCAACAAACAUGCAACUUGGGACUAUCGCCAUCCAUAAAUAACAACUCUAAGUUUCUCUUAACUUUUUCCCUUCAAUUUCUCAAUAUAAUUUCAUGGCCCAACUCCAUCUGACCACAUCAAAAUCCUCUAGCACAAAACAAAGCAUAGCCUUCAAGAAACUAAGCAUUCCCCAUGCUCUCUAUAAUCGGUGCCGCUCUGAGUCUUCAAGUGAUCCUCAAAGCACACUCUAAUGCAACUUAGCAAGCCCUCGUGUGAGCGCCAUCCUGCCUCGGGACCACUUUCAAUUCCAAACAAGAUCAAGAAUUGUGACGCACAGCAGAGUCUUACCCGACCAGUAGUAGGCCCGCCUCUAGGAAAAAUAGUGUCGCCUACUCCUCUAGUCCCUCAUUGUCCCGAGAUGCACCAGCUCUACAAGUGAUCUUCGAAGCAACAAGCAUGGUGCUUUGGAUUGGUGUUCAGCGAAAGAAGGUUCUACACCUAGGUGAAUUAACACCAACCUCCCGCUUGAUCUUGUUUCGGGAAACAAGCAUAACCCACUAGUUAAAAUUGUAUGGCCUAUGUGGAAAGUGUUGAAUUGAUACUCAUGUUGCUAGAUUCACAAUCUAUAAGAUUAUUUGGAAGUUCUCAUCCUUGUAUAUUUGUUUGGAUCUAUCUAAAUAAAGACUUUGAAUACUUUUGAUAUAAAUUCCUAAGUCAGGAAAUUUGAUUUGUUUUGUUGAAUAGACCAAACUUGUUUCCUUGUGAACCAUUGUAUCGUGCAAAUUAAGCAUACCCAAUUAGUGUCAUGUUAAAUCUUGUUUGUUCAAAGGCUUCUUAGUUUUUUUUAAUUCAUAUGUUGCGAUGUUGGUUUCUUUAAGUUGUUAUUUGCAAUCUUUUCCUUUGGCAGUUGUUGGGAAAUAUUUUGUUGUGCUUGAUUUUUGUGUUUCCCAUGCCUUUGGUCAUCAUAAUAAUAUAUAUCUGGUCGCAAUUCAUGGAUAUUGACCUAUGAUAUCGAAUAAUGGAUAUUCAACUAUGAUAUCAAACAAUGCUUCACUUAUUGGUGUACGCAUUUGCUAAAUUGUGAUUAAUGGAUUCAUGUUGCAUGUAGAAAUGCACGAGCAUUUUCCUAGUGAUUGUAGUGGGUCAGUAGUUGAGCAGUUACAGGGGUGGAUAUAUAUGAGCAUAAACUGUGAAAUAUAAUGGACAACUGUUAACAUUAAUAUAAAAAUAAGAAAAAAAACAAAAAAAUAUCAACUCUUGAGGCCGAUGGUCGCCAAGCAUGGUGUUCUAGCCCAUUUCGUAAGCACUCUAGGCGACACCUUAUUUCGUCUCACAAUAGUCGACACAGAGUCGCUCCCCUAAUUAACGUUAAGGUGAGUGCCAUGUGGUCGUGUGUGCAAGUCAGGGAAGACCCAAUCACUCAUGUGCGCGAUCCACCUCAAUACUGUAGGCAAAUAGGCAACGCCCAAUAAUCUACAAAACCUAUUUUUCUUACCCACACCAAUGACUCUCUCCCGUGGGGCUUGUCCAUUUGGUUAUUAGUACCACAUCACCAGGAUGCAGAAAUGUUGGCAGGAGCUUGACUAUUUAAUAGGGUGGUUUGCCUCGGGUGGAAGGCAUUCAUAUCCUUGGUGAAUCGUACAAAGGAUACUCUUUCAGUAUAAGUCGAAUACCAAAUCAAAAAGGAAAUAUAGAAACACCAGAACUUACUAAUCGAAGUUUAUAUACCAAAUGCCAGGGUCAGCCAUGUGAGGUGCCGAACAUGGUCAUGGGAUUGUCGAGCAGCGAUCCAAAAGGGAGGAUAAAGGGGAUUGACAACCCAAGCUUUGUGGCUCUUGCAUGACCUCUCAUAAGGCCCAAAACCCACGCCUCGUUUUCUUAAAUGUAUGUUUCAUGUCAGAUGGUGGUGUGGGUUUCGGUACAUCUCAACUGACAGGGCGGCUAGAGAAUUUAUUGUCAUGCUAGAUAUUAGGAUAUAUGUCACACGUUAUGACAUGAUCUUAUGUGAGGAAAAGGGGAAGACAGAUCUCGGGUUAGAUCAUGUGAUCUCGUGUGAGUGGAAGGGUGUGGAUCUUCAGUGAUAUGAAGUGAUAAUUCUCAUUUUUUCAAAGCGAUCUCAUGUGAGUGGAGAGGGGGGUGAUCUUCAGUGAUGUGAUGGGUUUUUUACCGUUGCUAGUUAUUUCCAUUUUACUUAACCAACGGAAUCAACAAGGAAAUAUAGAAACAACAAAACUUACUAACCAAAUUUUGGUAUAUACCAAAUGCCACGCUUGGUCACGUGAGGUGUCCAAUAUGGGCGUGGGACCAUCGAGCAGUGAUUCAUGAGGGAGGAGAAAGGGGAUUGAUAGCCCAAGCAUAACAUCUCUCGCUUGACCUCUCAU
rnacentral:lncRNA from 1 species